GCAGAAAAAUACUCUGCUCACGGGCGUC
rnacentral:piRNA from 1 species